UACGUAGGGGGCAAGCGUUGUCCGGAUUUAUUGGGCGUAAAGAGCGUGUAGGCGGCUAGGUAGGUCCGUUGUGAAAACUCGGAGGCUCAACCUCGAGACGUCGAUGGAAACCAUCUAGCUAGAGUCCGGAAGAGGAGAGUGGAAUUCCUGGUGUAGCGGUGAAAUGCGCAGAUAUCAGGAAGAACACCCGUGGCGAAGGCGGCUCUCUGGUACGUGACUGACGCUGAGACGCGAAAGCGUGGGGAGCGAACAGG
rnacentral:rRNA from 1 species